rnacentral:lncRNA from 1 species
ACUAUAAAAGGAGACCAUGAGGCAAUGAGUUGAUCAUCAAAGCAAACACACAGAAAUCCCAACUAAAAAUCAAUCAGUGAGACAAUGGCUGGAACCAAUGAUAUUAAAAUUAAAGGGUUUGAUUUGAGCAACAACAAAGGCAACACGUCGGGAUUAACCCACUUCGCCAACAGAGCUGCCGAGGGCGACAAGGGCGACAAUAAAAUCGAGGUUGAGGAUGCUAAAGGGCAAGGGAACACGGGAAACUUGAAAGUACUGACCGACUUCGCCCAACGCGGUAAAGUGGGCCAGUCGGAUCGCCAAGAACUACUCAAACCUCAGGCAUGAAAUUGAAGAAGGCCAGACCACAACAACUUGUCUGCUUGAUAGAUAUAUGUGCUAAAUUAUCUACACAAAAAUAAGAGCUGAUGUUUUAUCUGAGGCUCCUUCCUUGGUUAGGCCUCGUUAUCAUGUGUAAUAUUAAUAUUAUUAUUCUAAUAAAAUAAUGGUAGCUUAUUAUUAAAUAUAUCAGAAUUCUAUACGUAUAACUUUUAGAUUAUUGAUACUGAUGUCAACAAGAGAAAAUGAUUAAAAAUUCCUUUCUCCAAUUCGUGAUGUUAGACAAGAAGCAAACAAAUUUAGGAUAAUGGAUUUUAAAAGUUUGGUGACAAAUGAUGGUAAAGAAGAAUUUAGCCACUACUACAAAAAGUGAAAAAGACGACCAGAAAACAACGACGGUCUAAGUGAAAACCGUCGUGGUUUAUAAAAAGACGACGGUUCUAAAAACACCGUCGUGUAAUACAACCUUAGACAACUAAAAAAUGGAGUUUCAAAUGGCUGUUCAAAAACAACGACGUACAUAAUUAAACAACCGACGUCUAUUUGAAACAGAUUUCCUCAGUGUAAAAUCAAUGCCAACAAAGAACGGCAGAAGUUAUGAAUCGACCGACGUAGAAAGUAAAGACGACGAUUUCAAUAAAAACUGCCGUUUUUACUCAUAAAAUAACACGACGAGGUUUUCGUAUAAGACGCCGUAUAAUUACAAACAAAUCCACGGCUUUAAAAUACAAAAUAUCGCCGUAUUAAAUUAAUUUACAACGACGGAAAAUAUAAAUAUAUCGACGUCAUUCUCGUAUAGUUCUACUACGUUAUCUUUAAAUCGUACAAUAAAAUUUAUCGUCGUAUUUAUUCAUUUUAUACGUCGUACCUUUAAUUUUAACGGUCGUCUUAAUAAGAAUUUUUGUUAACAAUUUUUUUCUUUGAUUUUCUUAUCCUACGUCGGUAGAUCUACUUAAUGACAAGAAUUGAAAUAACCACGACGGUUUAUAUAGAACACCGCCGACAUAAUCAGUUUUGUCUGAGAUCCCAAGGGUUACGAAAUCUUACCAGAUGGAACUCUGUUCCACAUCAUAAUCUUAACAGAUGACACAGAUUUGCAAAUAUUGCGUCGUGUUAGUUUACAAAUUCUAGAACAUUAAUUUCCCUCAUUUUAAAUUUCCUCGGGAAAGAAAAAUCUAUUUAUCACGCUUUGGAAUUGAAAACUAAAACUGAAAGAAUACGGGAAAAAAAACUCCAUUUAUAAUUUAAAAUUAAAAUCCACGUCGGUUGUAGUACACUUAACGACGUUUAACAAAAUAAUCUACGUCGGUAAUUAUAAAUCUACCGCCAUCGUAACUUAAUAUAGACGACGAGAAAAGACGACGGUAGAACAGAAAACCGCCGUUGUUUCAGUUUCUUUAACAUAUCUUUCUGCAGGACUUGUGUAGUUCAAAGCAUUGACAAUGUCUUCAUCAUAUCUCCCAGAAACUACUGAUUCAAUUGCUCAUGCUUUAGAGGCCAUCUGAAGCCAUUUCUAUUCUUUAUCGCAUUCUUGAAACCCAUCUUCUUCUUCUGAAGCUCUACGGAUAAAGGAAGAGGCUAUCACAAUAAAUCCGACGGAUCUUCUUAGGCAAGAAAAUCAAGCAGAGGAUCAGGCACAUCUGAUCUUCAGAUUUCCCUGAGAAGCGAACUUUCCUUCGACAGCGAGUGGAGGCCAGGCUUGCAUCUCUUUUGAUGGAAAGCAAGGAGUAUUCAGAAGCACUAAGUGUCCUAUCAGGCUUGAUCAAGGAAGUGAGAAGGCUAGUUGACAAGCUUCUUCUUGUGGACAUAUAUUUGAUGCGAGUAAGCUCAAUUUCUCUUUGAGAAAACAUCCAAAUUAUUAUCUUUGAGACAUGAGAGACUGAGAGAGGAAGAACUUGGAACCUUAAAUGUAAACCGAAAAUGAAUGAAAGCGACAAAUUUAUAGAAUAAAUUUUUAAAACCAACGGCGGUCCUUACAAACAAACCGCCGUUUAAAUUGUAAAAUCAACGUCGGUAUGAUCGACGUAUAUUACAGAAAUCCACGUCGGUAAAUUAAUAAAAACGACGUGUUAAAUAAUAUACCAUGACGCGAGUUAUUACUUAUGUACUUUAAUUUUUGAGUUUACUACGACGGUACCUACAAACUACUGUCGUAUUUAUUUACCACGUCCGAAGUUAAAUGUACCGUCGUAUUUUGUAAUUUAUACGUCGUAGUUAUAUGUAACCGCCAUAUUAUUUUUUUGAAAUGGUUUUAUAUGUAAGCAACUUUUCGUCUACUUGACUUACACAUUUGUUGUUUUUAUAUUCUUAUUUUAUUUAAAUCUGUCAUCCAAAAAAGAAACUUUACAUAUUGCAGAAUAUUAAUUUCCUUCGUUUUAAAUUUCCUCCGGAAAAAAAACUCUAUUUAUAACGCACUGUAAUUGAAAAAUAAACUGAAAGGUCACGGGAAAAAAAAUUCUAUUCAUAAUUUAAAAAUUAAAAUCCACGUCGGUUAUAUUAAACCUAACGACGUUAAAUGAAAUGAUUCCACGUCGAAUGAAAAAUAUUGCGUCGUUUUAGUUAAAAACGACGUAGUUAAAUGUAACCGCCGUAUUAUUUUUUUGAAAUGGUUUUAUAUGUAAGCAACUUUUCGACUUACACAUGCACUGUUUCCAAACCCGAUUAAAAAUUUCAAUCUCCCAGAGAAACCUUUUCGUCUUUUUUCCUUGUCAGAGCAUUGUCAGAGUUUUUCAUCGUCUUCCUCUCGUCUUCUUCGUCGUCUCUGAACUUAAACAUCGAUCAUCUUCCUCUUGCUUUCAUUGCACGCAAAAGGUAAGCUUUCAUUUUCACUAUUUUGGUUACUGUUUUGCAUGCUCAUACGUUUUUUGUUUGAAAAAUCUUUUUACCUUUUUUCUGGCCAAAAUCAUUUUACUUCUUUCCAAGUUUGAUAAAAUAUACAGACAAAGAGAGAAAGUUUCCAACUUUGAAGACAACUACAUCAACUAAAUAAGACGACGGUAGACCACGACGGUUCGUCAGUUGUUCUAGCGUCGUCUGAAAAUUGACAAAGUUGUUUUUAAAAUAAUAGUCUUUUUUUAUAUGCUUGUUUAAUUGCAGGUUUGAUUUCGCUGAACAAUGGUUUUUGUUUUUCCCUUAUUUGAUAAAAUAUAAAGAAAAAGAAACUAGGGUUGGUAUCUAAUAUAGACGAUAAAAUAUAAAUAAUAGUUUACCACGACGGUGUAUUACUAUUGACGUCGUGUGAACAUAUAUACCACGACGUUAUAUAAAUAAUGGUUUUAAACAUUUAUUACGUCUGAGAUUAUUUCAUUGCGUCGUCUAAAAUCAUAUCAUACGUCGUAUUUUUUUAAUACCGUCGUUUGUGUUCUUAAUGUUUUCCUGAAAUAUUUUCACUUGCAGUUUUGUCUGUUAAAAUGGUUUCUCAACAACAAACUAAGGAUUCUGGCUCCAAGAAGCUUGGAAUGGUAGCUCCUCAAGAUAAGUCUUCGAAGGAGAUGAAGUCUUCGAAGAAGAUGAAGUUUGCUUCAUCAUCUGCUGAGACAGAACAAACCAGCCAGACAACAAUCUCAGAUGAUUCAAAGACUGGUCGAGGUAUGAGCACAAUGCCUCGUGUUGUGAAGAGAAAGCUUCAGAAACUGAGGCCAAUUGUUGAGUACAAUAAAAGGGGGAAAGGUGUUGGCCAAGCACAUAUUGAGAUGCAGUCGUAUAUUGGUGUGUUGGCACGCUCCAGGAUCCCACUUGUGGACAAGAAAUGGUCCCAAAUCCCCAAGGAUAUAAAGGAGCAGAUUUGGGAAGCAGUUGACAUGGCUUUUGUCGUAGGCCAAGGGGGCAAGACCUCUGUUUUAGCUUCUGCUUCCAAGAAAUGGAAGGAUUUCAAGUCUACACUAACGAGGCAUUAUAUCCUUCCAUACACCAAUGACAGGGAGAAAUUAAGCCAACCCCCUGAAACAUAUAAAUUCAUAGAGAAAGCACAAUGGGAUGCCUUUGUAGCUUCAAGGCUAUCCAAAGAUUUUGAGUCUGUGCAUUCUCAACAUGCACAGAUUAGGGAGAAACUCGAGUACAAUCAUCGAUUGUCUCGAAAAGGAUAUGCUGGAUUGGAGGAUCAAUUGGAGGAAACCAUGCCUGGGGUAGAAAUUGAUCGAUCUACCUUAUGGAAGAGAGCUAGACAGGACAAACAUGGUAACAUCCCUGAUCCAAAGGUGGCAGAGAAAGCAAAAUUAAUUGUAAGCCUACUAUCACUCUGUUUUAAAUUUUUAUUAAACUGUGAAUUAUUCUUAUUACGUCGUAUGUUAUAUUUUUCGUCGUGUGAAUGAUAUUACCACGUCGAAAAGUUUUUAAAAACGUCGUUAAAGGUCUAAAUAGGAAUCACUACUAUGUUUUCUGUAAUUACAGCAUAAGACGUCGGUGGUUCAUUUUCGCGUCGUGUGAAUGAUAUUACCACGUCGAAAAUUUUUUAAAAACGUCGUUAACGGUCUAAAUAGGAAUCACUACUCUGUUAUCUUUAAUUAUAGCAUAAGACGUCGGUUGUUUAUUCAUUUCGUCGUUUUAAAUAAAUAACCACGUCGGUAUAACUACCGUCGUGAUAAGUUAUAAUAACGUCGGUUUAUACGUUAUUGCGUCGUGUGAAAUUAUAUAAUACGUCGUUUGUACAUAAAUAACCGUCGUGUGUUUUUUUGUUUAUCUUUUUUUAGGAUGAAUUGCAGAAACAAGUCUCGGAAGGCAAAGUCAGAGUAGAUGGCAGCAAUGAUGUGCUGACCAUGGCUUUGGGCCCCGAGCAUCCAGGCAGACUGAGGGGAGUUGGUGCUGGUGUUUCCCCAAGGCAAUAUUUCAAUUUGCCCAAACCACAGAGGGUGAGCUUUGACGACCGUUUGAAGGACAGUUUAAGAGUUCUCCUUCAAGAAGAGACUAAAAAGAUGGAGGCUAAGGCAAGGGAAGAGGCCUUAAGGAUGGAGGCUAGGACAAAACAAUUGGUAGAGGCUGAGAGGGAGCAUUUCCUGAGUCAGCUUUCCCAAUUAAUUCCCAAUUUUGAUCCAAGCAUGCUUAAACCAAGAAUUAGCCAAAGCCCCAAAAAUCCAAUGUCUGACAAAGCUAGCUGCUCUGGAGGUGAUGUGAGAUCCCUACAUUUGGAGGAUGAUACUGCCAAAAUGGGGAAACAUCAGCCAGAUGAAGAGAAGGAAGAAGAAAAAAGAGAUGAAGAGAAGGAAGAAGAAAAGGAGAAAGAAGAUGAAGAAAAGCAUGACGACAAGGUAUGUUCACAUAACUUUGCCUUUUUUAUUUGUUUUUCAAAAUUUCAGACGUCGAUAUUUUUAUUUAAUCCGUCGUUUGUUUAAAACUUAGACGGCGGAAUUUUUUUAAGACGUAAUAAAAUAUUUAAACGACGGUUUUUGCACCGUCGUUUAAAUGGUUUCAGACGACGCUUUAUUCAUAAAACCGUCGUCUUUAUUGAAUUACCACGACAGUUUUUUCACCGUCGUUUAAAUACUUUUAAGACGACGUUUUAUUACUUAAACCGUCGUCUUUAUUGAAUUACCACGUCAUUUUUUUUAUUUCUUUAAACAGGUUAUUGAAGUUGGUGCUUAUUCAAAAAUGGAGGCGCCAUCUUCUUUAAAAACCCUUUGUCGUUUUGUGGAAACGACACUCCUGCCUGAGGAUAAGACACUCCAAUUUACAAUUGAUAAGGAGGUGUUUGGUGGUGAGCGCGAUACCUUCCUCCUGCCUGAAGAUAUUACACAAUUUGCAGGCAUGGAAGAAAUUGGAGCUACUGUAUUGGCUGUAUAUAUGAGGUUUGUACUUCUAAAAUAAUACCUCGUUGGUUUAUAUAUUGCGUCGUCUUAACUAACUAACCACGUCGUCUUAACUAACUACCGUCGUGAUAAAUAUAUUAUAACGUCCUCAUCUAUUUCAGUACGUCGUGUGAAAUAUUAUAAUACGUCGUUUUUUUAUACAUAACCGUCGUGUUUGUUUGUGCUGACUUGUUUAUAUUAUUUUAUGUAUUUAGGUACUUACACGAUGUUUUGAAACAAGCCAAUAUGUGCAGCAUGGUUGGCUUUAUUGACCCUGCUACAGUUAGUGCCAACUCUGGCACAAUAACUGAAAGAUCACGACUGGUAGCAGCUCGACUUCAGAAGACAGACGGUGAACAGCUUUUCAUGAUGCCUUACAAUCCAGGGUUAGUCUCCUUAGGAUUUUGUUUUUAUGAUUUUCAAUAAAUGACAGCUUAUAAACUAACCACGUCGGUGUUUUAUUUUAUUUAGUCGUUUGAAACUACUAACCACGUCGGUAUUUAUUUGUCGUCGUGAUAAAUAUAUAAUGUUGUCGUUAUCUACUUUAUUUCGUCGUGUGAAAUACUAUAAUACGUCGUUUUUGUAAAUAACCGUCGUUUUUAUAUUAAUUUUGUGCAGCCGUCAUUGGAUCCUGCUGAUUGUAAGAGCAAAGAAGGAGACCGUCUAUUUUCUGGAUCCUCUGCCAGGUCAUCGUGUGGUCGACGAAGAGGCGAAAAACAUCGUGAACAGUGCUUUAAAAAUAUAUAAUACCCACAUAGGCCGAGCAGGACGUAAAAAUGUAAUUUGAAAAACUCUCUCAGGCACACCAAAGCAACCCAGCAAUGUCGAAUGCGGGUAUUAUGUGAUGCGCUUCAUGAGGGACAUCAUCAUGGAUCCUUCCUUGGGGUUUGAGAAUAAGGUAAGAAGAAAUUACCUUCAUACAUUUCACGUCGUUUUUUGUAUUAUCAACGACGGUCAUGUAAAAUUAACGUCGUUGAAUGGAUAUACUACGUCGGUUAUGAAAAAUAUCGUCGUCUGUGAUUGAAUUUCUUUUUAUUUAUAAACCCUAAUAGUCAUUGUUUAUGCAGUAUGCCAAGGGAAACCAGGAAGCUUCAUACCCCCAAGAAGCCAUUGAUGAAGUCCGGAAUGAAUGGGCAGAGUUUGUUUUCCAAAUUAUUAAACAGGGCAAUUAUUGAACACUUGAUAUUUAUGUAUAAUGUACCAAUUUUCUCUAUAAUAUGUAAUGUAAAAAUUUGUUGAGGUUUUCUUAAAUUAAAAAAAAAACAAACAUACAAAUUGCUUAACCGACGUGUAAUACUUUUCCAACGACCUAAUAAAGUCACAAACCGUCGUAUUUUGUUGUUUCGUGUUUUAAACAAUUACGACGUAAAAAAAUAGUUAGACGACGUUCUUUGAACAAUUGAGUCGUUAAUGGUUUACAAUAUCUUCAAUUUCUUAAGGGUUCAGGGUAUAAUCGACGACGUUUAUGUAACGACUGCGGUUAAGUCGUAAAAUAUAUAUUUUACGUCGUAUAGUUAAAUAGCCGCCAUGGUUUUUCAUUUUAACGACGUCAUUUUAACGACUUAGUAGUCUAUUACAAUUUACAACGUCUACAAUUUAUUAACACCGACGUGGUUUGUUGUUGUGGUAAGAAUAUUUUAUUAUUUUUAUAUCAAAAUAUUCAAAAUAAAUUUAAAAUAAAUCAGAAAAUUGAAAAGUCAACUCCUAUGAAGUCAUUGAUAUAUUUUCUUCCACAUAAACCUUGAAAAAAUUCAUUUUGAAUAACAAAAAUUUAAAAUGACCAUCCAAAACAAAAUUGUUUUGAUGACUCAUAAAAUCACUUCUAGUUUUAUGGUUUAGGGUUUAGAGUCUAGGGUUUAGAGAUUAGGGUUGUUAUUUAUUGGGGUUUAUUUUUAAAGUAUAAUUUUUGGGUAGUCUAGGGUAUAUGUUAGGCUUUAAAACCAUAAAACCUUUUAUAAACUUAAUUUUUUAAAUUGUAUAAUUUAAUUUUAUGGGUUUAGGGUAUUAAUUUUUAACGACGGUGGUUGGGUCGUGGAAUACAUAUUUUACGUCGUACAGUAAAACAUACGACAUGGUUUACGCUUUAAACGACGUCAUUUUAAUAUGUAAGUCGGUUUAUAUAAUUUACAACGUCAACGUCUUUAAUUUCUUAACACCGACGUGGUUUUUCAGUCGUCGUUAUAUAAAAAAUUCAAAAUAAAUUUAAAAUUAAUCCGAAAAAUGAACGGCCUUACGUUCUUAAUCCGAAAAAUGAAGUUUCCGUCGUGGAAUAUUAAAUUUACGUCGGUACUUGUAGAACUUUCGCCUUGGUUUUUCUUUCGACGUUUUAAAACGCGCGCGCUCUAAAAAUUUUCGCGCGACCUAAACUUUUUUAGAUUUGGCUCUUAUUCUUAUACUUCGAACCCUGAAACCUAAAANNNNNNNNNNNNNNNNNNNNNNNNNNNNNNNNNNNNNNNNNNNNNNNNNNNNNNNNNNNNNNNNNNNNNNNNNNNNNNNNNNNNNNNNNNNNNNNNNNNNNNNNNNNNNNNNNNNNNNNNNNNNNNNNNNNNNNNNNNNNNNNNNNNNNNNNNNNNNNNNNNNNNNNNNNNNNNNNNNNNNNNNNNNNNNNNNNNNNNNNNNNNNNNNNNNNNNNNNNNNNNNNNNNNNNNNNNNNNNNNNNNNNNNNNNNNNNNNNNNNNNNNNNNNNNNNNNNNNNNNNNNNNNNNNNNNNNNNNNNNNNNNNNNNNNNNNNNNNNNNNNNNNNNNNNNNNNNNNNNNNNNNNNNNNNNNNNNNNNNNNNNNNNNNNNNNNNNNNNNNNNNNNNNNNNNNNNNNNNNNNNNNNNNNNNNNNNNNNNNNNNNNNNNNNNNNNNNNNNNNNNNNNNNNNNNNNNNNNNNNNNNNNNNNNNNNNNNNNNNNNNNNNNNNNNNNNNNNNNNNNNNNNNNNNNNNNNNNNNNNNNNNNNNNNNNNNNNNNNNNNNNNNNNNNNNNNNNNNNNNNNNNNNNNNNNNNNNNNNNNNNNNNNNNNNNNNNNNNNNNNNCUGUUUUUGUUUAAAACCCGUCGUCUCAUGUUGUUUAUACCUUGCGAUUAGAUCAUGUAUAAUCUGCUAUAGUGAUGGUCAUGCCUGUAUUUUCACUUUUAUAUAGAUAAUAGGUUAUAGUGUCGGAGAUGGAUAAGUCAUGGAUGCACUCGGAUAGAAGAUCGAAGGCAUAUGAGUUUGGGGUGGAAGCAUUUUUGAACUUUGCUGUAGAAAAUCUUCUAACUACAACACAUAUCCGUUGUCCAUGUGUUAAAUGUGUUAAUUUGAAGUUGUUUGGGGUUGGAAUUAUAAGGGAUCACUUAUACUUUAAUGGAAUUGACCAAAGCUAUAAGAAUUGGACAUUUCACGGAGAACCUUGGGAAGCAACUACUAAUGCUAGCAGAAAUGUUGAAGAAGAUGAUGGCCAUAGUAGGUACAGUUUUGUGUCUGAAGAAAUUGAUAUGGAUGAUAAUGAUUUUGGUGAUUUUGGUUCGGAUCCGUAUGAGUUUGCCAAUGUGAUUGGGGAUGGAGAUCAACCAGUGUACCCUGGUUGUAGAAAGUACACGAAGUUAUCGGCAUUAGUGAAGUUGUAUAAUUUGAAGGCAAAACAUGGGAUGAGUGAUGUCUGUUUUACAGAAUUAUUGAUACUUCAAGGCGAUUUGCUUCCAGAAGGAAAUACAAUACCAACCUCCAUGUAUGAGGCUAAAAAGACUUUGUGUGCAUUGGGGCUGAGUUAUGAGAAAAUGCACGCAUGCCCCAAUGAUUGCAUCUUGUAUAGGAAGGAGUAUGAGGAUUCAACUAAUUGUCCUACUUGUGGUAUCUCAAGGUGGAAGGAAGGCAAAGAUGCAAUCUUGAAAGAGGGUGUGCCAGCGAAGGUGGUGUGGUAUUUUCCCCCAAUUCCAAGGUUUAAAAGGAUGUUUCAAUCACAUGAGACAGCUAAGAGUUUGACUUGGUGGCAUGUUGCUAGAAAAUCAAUUGACGGUCAGAUGUCUCAUCCGGCGGAUUCCCCGUCUUGGAAACUUCUUGAUGAUAAAUGGCCUGAGUUUGGUAAUGAGCCGAGAAACUUGAGAUUGGCUCUUUCAUCUGAUGGAUUCAAUCCCCACAGUUCUCUAAGUAGCAGAUAUAGUUGUUGGCCGGUUAUCUUAGUUACAUAUAAUCUCCCUCCAUGGCUGUGCAUGAAACGAAAGUUCAUGAUGUUAACCUUAUUGAUUUCCGAUCCUAAACAACCCGGAAAUGAUAUAGACGUCUACUUGGAGCCUUUGAUUGAUGAUUUAAAAUCCUUGUGGGUUGGGAUUAGAGGAGUGUAUGAUGCACAUAAUGGAGAAUACUUUACACUCAGAGCUGCAUUAAUGUGGACAAUUAAUGAUUUCCCCGCCUAUGGAAACUUAUCUGGUUGUGUUGUUAAAGGAUAUAAAGCUUGUCCAAUAUGCGGCGAUGAUACACCUAGUCAAACAAAUAUUUUUUGUUGACGACCCGAUGCAUCGUGGUUGGUCGUGUAGGCGUGUGAGUGUGUGUUUGUGUUUGUUUUUGUGUGUGUGUGUGUGUGUGUGUGUGGUGUGUGUGUGUGUGUGUGUACCAUUACUNNNNNNNNNNNNNNNNNNNNNNNNNNNNNNNNNNNNNNNNNNNNNNNNNNNNNNNNNNNNNNNNNNNNNNNNNNNNNNNNNNNNNNNNNNNNNNNNNNNNAUGUAAUUGGCAGUGUAUGACAUUAAUUUUGUAAUAUAUUGUAAUGUGAUUUCUUCACUUUCUACGUUCAAAUAAAACACGACGUUAUUGUGAAUCAGUUAUUCAGCAUAUUUACCGACGUCUUAAAGCAACGUAACAAUGAAGAACCACGACGCUAUUGUGAAGCAAUUAUUCAGGAUAUCACGUCGGUGAAGGAUAAAGAACCGCCAUGUAAUUCAAAAUAACACGACUCCAAUCCCAUAAUACCGACGUCUAAAAAACGAGAUAUGUAAUCUGAACGUUAAAAAAUACGACGUCAUCAUACAUUUUCCACGUCGCAAGUUCUUUUAUAAACGAAGAGGAACGAAAUUAAUUCCGACGGAAAUUCAUUAUAACCGCCGUCUAAUAACAAUUAAACGACGUUAUUUGUAAUACGGCUCCCAUCAUAAUCUACGCCGUCUAUAUGUUCUGUAAUACGGCUCUCAUUUAUUUGGAACCGACGUUGUUUAGACGUUCAACGUCGUCUAUAUUAUUAAGUGCGUCGUGAGUAAUGAAUACAUAUAAAUACAACGUCGACUAUAUAAAUGUAUACGUCGUAAAUAAUGACACUGACAACUAUUUCCACGUCAUCUUUUUUAGAUAAAAUCGAAGUGGAAAAUUUAUUUCACGACGGUUUUUUGUAAAUAAGAGACGUUGUAGAACUUUAGCAGACUAAACACGUCUGUUUUUAUUGUUUUCCGACGUUGUUGUAUUUAACAACGUCUAAUAUUUAUGGUCGUUGUUUGUUUCUGAAAAUAGGACGUAUAAAUUUUUUAAUACGACUCUCAUAUAUUUGUAACUGACGUUGUUUAGUUUUUCAACGUCUACUAUAGAAACACAUACGUCGUAAAUAAUGACACUGACAACUAUUUCCACGUCAUCUUUUAUCAAAAAAUCGAAGUGGAAAAUUAAUUGUACGACGGUUGUGUUUAUAUGUGCGACGUAGUAGGUAUCAAUAACAUCGUCUUCUAAUGUAUUUAAAGACGUCAUAUUUUUUAUUGUCGUGAAAAUUAUAUUUAACGUCGGCGUAUUUUUAUUGUCGUCGUUGUAUGUCUAUCUUGCGGCCUUGUUCUCUUAAUAUGUGUCAUAUUUUCCCUUUUUAACGACGGUCUUUUUAGAGAAUUGGUCGUCUAUUAUCAUCAUCGAUUGCUUUUUUUAGAUCUUUUUGCAGUACAAAGACGUCGUUUUGUAUUUUUUGAUGACGUUGUAUUGUUUAACAACGACGGUUAUUUAGCGUCGUGGUUUAUGAGGGAAAAGAUGACGGUGGAUUCCACGACCAUUGAAAAACCAAAUACACGACGGUGAUUUACCGUCGUCUUUUUGCUUUUUUGUAGUAGUGAUCGGAAACUUGACUAAUUAGAAUACAACAUAUGUCGAAAUAUUUUUAUCAUAAAUGGUCUCUAAGGUUCGUGAAAUUAUUAGCUUUAGUCCUUCAUGUUUUUUUGUGACAUCAUUGGUCCUUUAUGUUACUCCUCUUCACACAUCAAUUUGGUUCUGCCGUUUGGAUUCGUCAAAAUUUAUGUUAAAUUGAUGGCAUGACAUGUAUAUGGUGCCUACAUAUCCAAUGAGAUAAUGACCCGUGGAUCUAAGUAAAAAAUUUGUUUUAAAAAAAUAGUUUCAUAUUUAAAAUUUUUAAAGGGCGAAGACUCAUUGGGUAACUCGAAGUUUGGGUUGUUGAAGCCUUCAAGCAUGGUUUUGCUCACAAAAGAUUGGAACGCAAUGUGUUGGGUUGAGCACUGAAAACCAAAGAAUAUCAAAAAUGUAGUAGGGGGGAGAGAGAGAGAGAGANNNNNNNNNNNNNNNNNNNNNNNNNNNNNNNNNNNNNNNNNNNNNNNNNNNNNNNNNNNNNNNNNNNNNNNNNNNNNNNNNNNNNNNNNNNNNNNNNNNNACCUCAUGUCAGCACUUAAUAGAAAAUUUGACGGACCCUAACGGCAUGGAUCAAAUUGAUGUGUGGUGUGUAACAAAAAGGAUCAAUAAUGUCACAAAAAACAUAAAGGACCAAAGUUGAUAAUUUUGCGAACCUUAUACACCAUUUAUGAUAAAAACCCUAUAUUGUAUAAUUUUAGUGUGUUUUUUUCUUAAAUGCUAUUGAGAAGAGAUUUUAUAAAACUGCUAUAUAAAAGGUUCACCACAAUGCUAUAAAACAAUAGUAGAUUAUGGCUCUCAGAUGUUUUCAUCUUCUUAUUCAUCCAAGCAGAUCGAUAACAUAUGGUCACUACUGACUUUUUCUUGUAGUUCUCAACAUCCAUCUUUCAAGCCAUCAACCAAGUUGUUGCAUUGCUCCUCACUGUUAGAAAAGCCUCGUUUCCCUCCUCCUCCUCCAUUGAUUGAAGGAGAGACAACAAAAGCAACUUAUGAAACAAGCCCCUCAUUUCCUUGUUAAACAUAAAUCGACCCAUUAUUGAUGAGGACUGAGAAUCUAAGAGCACACUAGUAAUUAACCUGAGUGGGGAAUAUGGAUGAUGGAUCUCUCUCUCUCUCUCUCUCUCUUGAAAAAAUCAACUUCAUUAUCCUUGGUGAAUUUGUUCUGAAUUAGUCGUGUCCAGCUACAAGCAAUACUGUACGUAGUAUAUUAUUCUCUGCAUUUGUGCAUGCCAACAACAAACAAAUAUUAUUCUCUAUUAUAGCAUAUAGGCCGUCAUUUUCAAUCCUUAUAAGAGAAAACUUGCUUCGCCAUAAGAGUACGUAGCUUGGCAAGCAAGGUAAGGGUACUUCAAAAGAUUCCUUCCAUCAUCUAUAUAAGACACAUGUGACAUUGCAUGUCUCAUCAAUCAUGUUAAGAUAAAGCUAGCUGGCAAGGCAAAUUACCAACCUUUAUGCUCGAGUAUAUUAUUCCAAGCAGAUAUAAAUGUUAAUAUAUGUGAAGAAUAUUAUGAUCAAUAUAGAAUAUGUAUCAUGAUCAGUUAUGGUAUCGACUGUCAGAAAAUAUCAUCCGCAUAUGUGCAUACCAACAUUAUCGAAAGACAGUAGGAGUAUCGUCAUAUCCGAUACAAGUAUCGGAGCAUGGGUAAGAGUAUAUAUACAAGCAUACCCGUCCAAUUAGGAGAAUCAGUGCAACAUAGAUGAAAAGAAAUUAGAUGUGAUUUCACAUAUUUUUAAAGAAUAGGGGAAAUAAACCAAUUAAUCUCUUUUGUCUUCUCCAUACAUUUUUGGUUGUGAAUUUUGGUUUUCGAAGAAUUUGGCAUUUCAAGCAACUUGGAAAACAUUUUGAUGAUCCAUUGAACCUUGUUAAAGUCGAUAUUCAAUCUCUAUGGACUUUGGCCGAAAUGUCUCAUUUCAAUUGGAAAGUGACAUUGAGAUUUGAAAAGACUAGACAUUAAGGUGGCAAGAGAAGUCUAAAAGGAUCAAACAGAAAAAAAUAAUGAAAAAUUGAAAAUAACCUAGAAAGGGGAGAAAAAAUUAGUUGCAAUAGGGAUAAUAAUGUUUGAGUAAUGCUAAACGAACUCUAAAAUUAACUUAGUACACCCUACUAUCAAACUAUUUAUUGAAUUACUAAUUUACCCUAAUAUAAAAUGACCAAAAAGGAUAUAUUGAAUUGUGCAGCAAAUGUAAUUUUAAUAAGUACACAUUACUCACCAUAUUCAACCCUAAUAUUCGAUGGAGGCGACAUUGAAUGCUAUGAAUCCAACCCAAACCCACCACCACCGUCCCUCUCUCUCUCUCUCUCUCUCUCUCUCUCUCUCUCUCUCUCUCUCUCACAAAUUAUCUUAUUUGCUCUAAAUUUUUUGCAAUGAGUCAGAAUCUUCUAUGUGUAUGUGGCAUUCGUUCAUUAGACUUGGUUAAUGCAUUCAACCCACCCAAAACAAUAAUCAUUUGAUGUUCAUCCUCGAUGUUGGUGGUUUCAAGUGAGCAUGUUCCCAAACGGCUCUUACACUUGCCCACUAGAACUCCAGCUCCUCACCCUCUGAUGAAUCUAAUGACAAUUAUGUUGUUGUUUGCACCAUAAACACCAACUUCCAACAACUCCAAUACAACCUAUUUCUUCUUAAUUAGAUACCUUGGGGGUUGAUAGCAACCUCAAUAGUCUAAGAAACAAACCCACUUCGGAAUUUUCCUUCUUCCACUAGUUGAAGGGAGAUGGGUUCCAACACGAUAUUACGCGCUUAUUAGAAUCUUAUACUCGUCGAGUCUGGGUUGGCUGGUGAUAAGCAGGGGAAGGGUGGAGUUGGGUUGUGUUAGAGAGAGAGAGAGAGAGAGAGAGAGAGAGAGAGAGAGAGAGAAAGAGAAAGAGAGAGAGAAGGGCGGUAGUGGUUGGGUUGGGUUGGAUGCGAAAGGGCUUAAAUCAGAGGAGGAAGGACGGGUUUGGCUGGGUGGGUGACAGGACCCGACCCAAUUUCCGCUUUGGAAUCCGAGCUGAAUCCUGUGCGUGUCCGACACCUGGCGAAUGUCGGGCACGAAUGACCUUUUUACCCUUCUCUUUUCAAAUUCUUUUUUUUUUUAAACUUCCCUUAGACUUCUACCGAAAAUUCGACAGAGUCUCCCCUGUAUUUUGACCAAACCCAAAGUCUUCCACCUGUCAAACAGUCUCAAAUAACACACCAACUACCAGACUAACUCAACCAACAGAUCUCAACUCCAGUUUCUCAUGUUCAACAAGAUAUCAAAGCAUUUCUAUACAAAUUUACAGAACUAUGAGAAAGUUACAACGAGAUCCUACACUUUGGGGGUGGGGCGAAAGCUGGGAAGAUGGCCCGAGUGGUUUCCUUCGUACUUCUAUGGCCUGGGGGCGAAAAACAAGGUUAAAAUUGUGAGUGGACAAAAAUAAAAUUCUUUAAAACAAAAACAAGUUAGAACAUAAUAACCCCCGUUUUGAAAUACUAGGGAUAUAAAUCGUUAAUUUAGCUAUAUUUCAAUAUAAGGAAUUCAAUAAACAUGAAUAAAUAUACUGACGAAUAAACUUGCAUAACUGAUCAAAUAUAUAUAAAGAUAAUAACGCAUGAAUAUCAAGAAACUGGUAUAAAAUCACGGGAAAUCAUAACUGGAUAAAAGAGCUCAAAAUCCUUUGAAACUACCACCUAGAUGUACCCCUGUCAUAUCCGUCAAUUCCCCUGGCAGGUCUCGGGCGUCACGCAGUCUACCCGAGCCGCAAACUGGCGAAAUCAAGGGACUAUGAUCAGCCUGAUCCGCCGGCAGGUCUCGAUGACACCAAGUCGACUCGAGCCGCUCUGGCAGGAUGCAGGGGACCGCAGUCAGCCUGAUCCGCAAUCCUGGCAGGUCUCGGGGACACAGAGUCAGCCGAGCCGCAAAUCCUGGCAGGUCUCGGGACACCAAGUCUGCCGAGCCGCAAAUUCUGGCACUCACGGUCCGAGCGUCCCCGAAACUCGUGAGGCAAAGUCAAGUGCACUGACGUAACUGAAAUCAGACUGGAUGUUCGUAGACAUCGGUCCGACUGUGGGUAAUCACCAUAAAUAGAUGGGUACAUGGUGGUUUAACAAGAAAUUCUGAUAACUCUCUGAAAUCUGAUAAGUCUGAACUAAAUUACUAUCUUUGUAUCAAAAGUCUCAAGUUUACUGCUCAACCAAUAUUAUAAAAAUAAAGAUAUUUCACAAUGCAAAUCAUGCUUCGAAAUUACGUAAUAACACUUAUUCAAGAUCAAAUAGAAAAUAUAAUUAUAAAAUCUUUUAGGAAAGAAAAGUCCACUCACUGUUGGUCCGAGCUAUCUGGACCCUUCGAAGAUCCCUCAUGUGGGUCAACUGGACCUCUGGUGCCUUACUCGAUUGAUUUGGUGGAGAAUUGAAGGAGAACGAAGGAGAUGAAGUUUGGAUGAAAAACAGGCGGAAAUCGCCAGUUUCCGGCCAAUUCCCGGCGGUCCAAGGCCGGCGACGGGUCGAGGAAGGGAGGCGGCGGCGAGGCGGACCGAUUGACACCAACGGCGGAGGUCGCCGUGCCCUGUAGCGACGGCACGCUCGAUCUGAAACAGGGAGGGGGGCGGCGGUUGCGACGGGAGAGAGAGAGAGAGAGGAGAGAGAAAUGAGGAGAGAGAAGAGAGAAGGAAGAGAUAAAAUCUGACUUUUUUUUCAAAUUACCGUUUUGCCCUUCGAGGUAAUUUAAUCGUAUCUUCUUCAUUACAAUUCCAAUUCGGGUCUACUCCGUGUCUACGGACUCGUUUCGCCGUGCUCUACGCAACGGCGCAAGCGAAAUUCUCAAAUUCUUUCUUGAUCAAAAAGUCAAAUUUUCCCCUAUUAAAAUAUGCGAGGGCAAAAUCGUCUUUUGGGUAGAAUAAAGAAAUCCUAAUUUUUAGAUAUUUUAGUUUGGGUUAUUACAGUGGGGGGUGGAGAGAUGAUGGGAGGUCGAUUUAACAGGGUUAAGUGUUGUUAAGUGGUUUACCACAUGUCAAAAAAAUAGAAGGAAAACAUGUCGGGCACAUGGCAUUUGGUAACAGUAAAAUUGGACUCAUGAAUGAGUUAGGUGUUGUGUGAUAGAGUGUAUUAGGGUGUACCAUGGGUAUUUUUAGUAGUUAAAUAGGAUGUACUGAGUUAAUUUUAUAAUUUGAUUUAAAUAUUAGGGUAUACUUAGAUCAUAGGGUGUACUCAGUUAAUUUUAAGGUUUGUUUAGCAACAUUCUAAUGUUUUGUUAUCCCCGGUCAAUAAUUUUAUAUCGUGUGGCUUAGAAGGAGGCCUGUUAUCCAACUCAUCUGGUCCACCGUCCAUGAUAUGAACCCGACUUGAGAAUCUUUUGGUGAAGUAGAACAACCCAACUUGAGAGUUGAGGCAGCCAAACUAGAAGGGAAGCAUCCCCACUCCAGUCCCGCUCCCCAUGUGCCCAAUACUUUGCUUGUUUACUUCACCUUUUAAACCUUUUAGGAUUUUCCAUAGGCUAAGAGGAAAACAACAACAUUACGGCCCAGUUUACGAAUGGAUUCGAGGGGAAAUUACUUCCCAUGCCAUUUUUUAAGGGAUGGAAAAUGGAGAUUCAUUUCCCAUAUUUGAUAAUCCUAGGAAAGUAACUAAGAAAUACUACUUUAUUUCCUUUCACAUAUUUGGUUUGUGUAGGAAUGUAAAACAAAGUUAGUUUAAUUUUUCAAUUAUAUCCAUAUGAAAUUAAAUUUUAAAAAAAAUGUAUUUAAUGCUAUAUUGUUAAUGGGGACAAUAUGGUCAUGAAAAAUGUGUAUUUAAUGUUGGCUAAUUUUCUCAAACUUUCUCAUGUGCAAGACAACGAUUUCUCAUGCCUAGACUUACCAAAUAUGGGAAAGCAAUUGAUUUCUCAUCACCAAGCCUCCUUUCCCAUGAACCAAACAGGACCUACAAGUUAUUAGCUUCAAGCCUUCAAGGAUUUUCAUAACAAAUCUUCCAAUCUCACACAAAAAUAAAAAAGCAUCCAUGUAUGUAAUUUCUAGAUUAAAAUCUCACUUUUUAGGCAUUCCAUUUUCUUAGGAUUAGGUAUUACUACGCACGGACAAUCUUACGAUUAUCUGCAAUUCAUCCUUCAAUAGCUAUGGACGUUAUAUCAAAUCAACAAUAAGACGUACAUUUCUUCAAAGAACUAAAUCAUGCGGAUGUCAACUUGCUCUCACUUAUAUGUUUGUCUCUCCAUAUGAGGAAGGGUGUUUAGCUUAAGGUUUUAGGGCGCGGUUGUCUAAGAACAAUAAGGUGAACAUGUUUUGUCAAAGUACAUGGGAGACCUUUAUCUUCAAACACAAAAAAUGGCCAAAAUUAAAUUAGCAAGGAUCGACAUAUGGAUGUGAGCUUUUACACAUUGCCACUAAUUCUCUCCAUACUUUUGUUGAAAUCAUUUACAAAAUAAGAAAACUUUAGUAAUUGAAGCGAAAGAGAAGAAUUACCAGAACAGAAAAUAAGAAAAAAGAAGCACCUAACCCAAACUUUAAGUCACGAAUUUAACAGUUUACUUUUUAAAAAAAGUAAGUUACAAAACAAUCCCCUUAUUGAUGAGGAUUGAGAAUUUAAGAGCACUAAUAACUUGAGUGAGGAAUAUUGCACAUGGACGAUGGAUCUCUCUCUCUCUCUUUGAAAAAAAAGAAAAAAGAAACAAAAAUCAACUUCAUUAUCCUUAGUGAAUUUGUUCUGGAUUAGUUGUGUUGCAAUGGAACAUCGAACCUACCUAGCUAAAAGGAAAAAAGAAAGGCCACUACGACAGUACUGCAGUAUAUUAUUCCAAGAAGACAAAUGUAAACUAUAUACGUGAAGAAUAUCUAUUAUUGGUCGUCAUUUUCAAUCCUCAUAAAAGAAAACUUACUUCGCCAUAAUUUCAGGUUGUUCUCAAGGCAGGAAGGUAAGGACACUUGAAAAGAUUCCUUCUCAUCAUCUAUACAAGGAAAUGUGUUCUCAUCAAGCUAGGGGACAAGGCAAAUUAGCAACCUUUAUACUCGAUAUAUUAUUCCAAGCAGAUAUACAUGUGAAGAAUAUUAUGAUCUUGAUCAAUAUGGAAUCAGUGGGUGUAUCGAUCGACCAUCCAAAGAAAAAGGAUAUCCUCUGCAUAUAUGUGUGCAUGCCAACAACUAUAAAAGGAGACCAUGAGGCAAUGAGUUGAUCAUCAAAGCAAACACACAGAUAUCCCAACUAAAAAUCAUUCAGUGAGACAAUGGCUGGAACCAAUGAUAUUAAAAUUAAAGGGUUCGAUUUGAGCAAAAACAGCGGCAACACGUCCGGAUUAACCCACUUCGCCAACAGAGCUGACGAGGGCGACAAGGGCGACAAUAAAAUCGAGGUUGAGGAUGCUAAAGCGCAAGAUAACAAGGGAAACUUGAAAGUACUGACCGACUUCGCCCAACGUGGUAAGGUGGGCCAGUCGGAUCGCCAAGAAAUCACGGGGAGCAAGCCACUUCAGACGGCAGCAUGAAAUUGAUGAAGGCCAUACCAUAAUAAAAUAUCUACACUAAAAUAAGAGCUGAUGCAGUAUCUGAGGCUCCUUCCUUGGUUAGGCCUCAUUAUCAUGUGCAAUACUAAUAUUAUUAUUCUAAUAAAAUAAUGGUAGCUUAUUAUUAAAUAUAUCAAAAUUCUAUACGUAUAACUUUUAGAUUAUUGAUACUGAUGACAUACCAACAAGAGAAAACGAUUCAAAAGUCCUUUCUCCAAUUCGUGAUGUUACAAAAUGAGACGUCAAAUUUAAAAAUAUAGUUGCAUACGAGUAUAAACUGAACCAAUAAGCAAUGUAUGAGUGACCAAAGGUCUCAAACGAUGCAUUUAAGAAGAAGGGUACUAAAUUAAAAGAUGUACGCCAGUGAACUAUGGCAAUCUCUCGUUGCAUGCACGCAUAUGCAAUUGAAGAAGACCUAACUUAUAUCACGAAGAAGUGGAUGGGUCUUUACAUAUGAAGUUUUUAAAAUUAACACUACCGGAAGACAAUAGGAGUAUCGGCGUAUCUGAUACAAGUAUCGGAGUCUCGGAGUAUUAGAUUUGAGCAUACCUGUCCAAAUAGGAGUAUCGGUGCAACAUAGAUGAAAAGGAAUUGGAUGUGAUUUCACAUAUUUUUAAAGAACAGGGGAAAUAAACCAAUUAAUCUCUUUCGUCUUGUCCACACAUUUCUUGUUGCAAAUUUUGGUUUUCAAAAAAUUUGGCAUUUCAAGCAACUUGGAAAACAUUUUGAUGAUCCAUUAUUGAACCUCUAAAGUCGAUAUUCAAUCCCUAUCGACCUUGCUCAAAAAAUGUCUCAUUUCAAUUAGUGCAGAGAAAAAUAAAGGCAGAGUUGAAAAUAGAUUUUUCAGUUUGGAAAGUGACAUUGAGAUGUAAAAAGACUAGACAUUAAGGUGGCAAGAGAGAUCUAACAGGAUCAGACAAAAAAGGAAAAAAAAAUGAAUGAAAAAUAGAAAAUGCCCUAGAAAGGGGAGAACAACUUAGUUGCAAUGGGGAUAACAAUAUCUUGCUAUUACUGGUCAAUAAUUUUAUACCACGUGGCCUAGAAGGAGGCCUGUUAGUCCAACUCAUCUGGUCCACUUCCCAUUAUAUGAACCCGACUUGAGAGUUUUGGUUUUUUGGUUGAAGUAGAACAACCCGACUUGAGAAUUGAGGCAGCCAAACUAGAAGGGAAGCAGCCCACUCCACUCCCGCUCCCCAUGUGCCCAGUACUUCGCUUGUUUACUUCACCUUUUAAACCUUUUAGGAUUUUUUUUAUAGGAUAAGAGGAAAACGACGACAUUACAAGUUAUUACGCAUCAACGUAUGUAAUUUCUAGAUUAAAAUCUCACUUUUUACGCAUGUCAUUAUCUUAGGAUUAUGUAUUACUACGCACUGACAAUCUUACGAUUAUCUGCAAUUCAUCCUUCAAUGACCAAAGACGUUAUAUCAAAUCAACAAUAAGACAUACAUUUCUCCAAAUAACUAAAUUAUGUGGAUUUCAACUUGCUCUCAUUUAUAUGUUUGUCUCUCUCCUCCUAUUGAUUAGCCUCUCCAUAAGAGCAAAUAUGAAAAAAGAAGCUCCCAAUCCGAACUUUAAGUCACAAGUUUAACAGUUUACUUUUAAACAAAAGCAAGUUACGAAACAAUCCCCUGAUUUCCUUGUUAAACAUCAACCGACCCAUUAUUGAUGAGGAUUGAGAAUCUAAGAGCAUAUGGACGAUGGAUCUCUCUCUCUUUUUGAAAACAAAAACAAAAACAAAAAACAAAAAUCAACUUCAUUAUCCUUGGUGAAUUUGUUCUGGAUUAGUUGUUUUGAAUUAGUACAGCUUACGUACGCAAUGGAACAUCGAACUUAGCUAGCUAAAAGGAAAAAAGAAAGGCCACUACUACAGUACCGCAGUAUAUUAUUCCAAGAAGACAAAUGUAAACUAUAUACGUGAAGAAUCUCUAGUAUUGGUCGUCAUUUUCAAUCCUUAUAAAAGAAAGCUUGCUUCGCCAUAAUUUCAGGUUGUUCUCAAGGCAGGCAGAGAGAGUACGUAGCUUGGCAAGAAAGGUAAGGGCACUUCAAAAGAUUGUUUCUCAUCAUCUAUAUGAGGAAAUGUGUUGCCAUCAAGCUAGCGGACAAGGCAAAUUAGCAACCUUUAUACUCGAUAUAUUAUUCCAAGCAGAUAUACAUGUAAAUAUAUGUGAAGAAUAUUAUGAUCAUGAUCAAUAUAGAAUCUGUAUCAUGAUCAGAGGGUAUCGAUCCAGCAUCCAAAGAAAAAGGAUAUACUCUGCAUAUGUGCAUGCCAACAACUAUAAAAGGAGACCAUGAGGCAAUGAGUCGAUCAUCAACGGAAACACACAGAUAUCCCAACUAAAAAUCCAUCGUGAGACAAUGGCUGGAACCAAUGAUAUUAAAAUUAAGGGGUUUGAUUUGAGCAACAACAAAGGCAACACGUCGGGAUUAACCCACUUCGCCAACAGAGCUGACGGGGGCGACAAUGGCAACAAUAAAAUCGAGGUUGAGGAUGCUAAAGGGCAAGGGAACACGGGAAACUUGAAAGUACUGACCGACUUCGCCCAACGCGGUAAAGUGGGCCAGUCGGAUCGCCAAGAACUACUCAAACCUCAGGCAUGAAAUUGAAGAAGGCCAGACCACAACAACUUGUCUGCUUGAUAGAUAUAUGUGCUAAAUUAUCUACACAAAAAUAAGAGCUGAUGUUUUAUCUGAGGCUCCUUCCUUGGUUAGGCCUCGUUAUCAUGUGUAAUAUUAAUAUUAUUAUUCUAAUAAAAUAAUGGUAGCUUAUUAUUAAAUAUAUCAAAAUUCUAUACGUAUAACUUUUAGAUUAUUGAUACUGAUGUCAACAAGAGAAAAUGAUUAAAAAGUCCUUUCUCCAAUUCGUGAUGUUACAAAAUGAGACUUCAAAUUUUAAAACUAUAGUUGCAUACGAGUACAAAACUGAACCAAACAAUGUAUGGGCCAGAGUGACCAAGGAUGUACGCCAGUGAACUAAUGGCAAUCUCUCGUUGCAUGCACGCAUAUGCAAUUGAAGGAGGCAUUAUCUGAGGCUCCUUCCUUGGCUAGGCCUCAUUUUCAAUUUUGAUUUCAACUUUGAUUUUGCUUAAACUUUGAUUUUGAGCUAGACUGUGAUUUCGACUUUGAUCUCCCAAUUCGUGCCUUAAGAAUCAGUUUCUCCCAACUCUAUUUACCAAAACCGAAAACUCUGAACUUUUCAAUUCGUCUGGCUACUCUCAGGGUUUCAUGCCUUAGUUUCCUCUCGCCAAAAAGCCAAAAAGACUUGGCUUUCAUGUAAUGCUAUACUCCUCGAUUGAACAAGCCGCGUCUUCAAAUUCAGCUUUCUCACUUCCUUUCUCUUUACUUUCUUUCUUUUGUUUUCCGGCUGGGAAAAUCAUGGAAGCAUUACAAAUUUAAGAGAAUAUUCUAGUAUUAGGGUCCAAACUGUACUAUUUAGGUAUUUUCAUUCUGAUUAAGAGUUCUUUUCUAGAAAUUUGGGGAAGAAAAAAUAGAGUUUCUGUUUUAGUGUUUGAUUUUCAUUACAGUGAAUUAUGUGAAACCGAAAUGUUUCUUGUCUGAUUUCAUCACUGCUUUCAAAUUGCAAAUUAAGGAUUUGAAGGUUAACAAUGCCCGUCUUUAACAAUGUCGCAUUUCAAUUAGUACAAAAGAAAAAUAAAGGCAUAGUUGAAAAUAGAUUUUUCAGUUUCGAAAGUGACAUUGAGAUUUAAAAAGACUAGACAUUAAGAUGGCAAGAGAGAUCUAAAAGGAUCAAACAAAAAAAGUGAAUGAAAAAUUGAAAAUGCCCUAGAAAGGGAGGAAAUCUUAGUUGCAAUGGGGAUAACAAUGUUUUGCUAUCCUCGAACAAUAAUUUUACACCACGUGACCUAGAAGGAGGCAUGUUAAUCUAACUCAUCUGGUCCACCGUCCAUGAUAUGAACCCGACUUGUGAGUUUUUUUUUUUUUUUGUUGAAGUAGAACAACCAAACUUGAGAGUUGAUGUCACAUCUCAGGAUCGGCUUCACCGUAGCACGAUAUUGUCUGCUUUGGGCCCCCUCGCUGUCCUCGCGGUUUUGUUUCUAGGAGCUCACGAGCAACUUCUCAGUUGGUCACUCAUCUUAGGAUUGCUCUGGCCCAAACUCACUUAACUUCGGAGUUCUCAUGACUCCGAAGCUAGUGAGCUCCUAAAAGGCCUCGUACUAAAUGGAAGUGGGCAUAUAUAUAUAAGGCACAACACCCCAUCUUCGUUGGUUGAUGUGGAAUGUUACAAUCCACCCCCCUUAGAGGUCUGACUUCCUCGUCGGCACACUCUCACCACACGGCAGAGUGGCUCUGAUACCAAACUGUCACAUCCCGGGAACGGCUCCGUCGUAGCACGAUAUUGUCCGCAUUGGGCCAACCUUUCUGCCCUCACGGUUUUGUUACUGGGAGCUCACGAGCAACUUCCCAGUGAAUCACUCAUCCUGGGAUUGCUCUAGCCCAAACUCGCUUCACUUCGGAGUUCCUAUGACUCCGAAGCCAAUUAGCUCCCAAAAGACCUCGUGCUAGAUAAAGGUGGGCACGUACAUAUAAGGCACAUCACCUUCUCUUCGUUGAUCGAUGUGGGAUGUUACAGUUGAGGGCUCCGUUGGUCGAUGUAGGAUGUUACAGUUGAGGCAGCCAAACUAGAAGGGAAGCAACCCAACUCCACUCCCUCUCCCCAUGUGCCCAGUUCUCUGCUCGUUUACUUCACCUUUUAAACAUUUUAGGAUUUUCCAUAAGCAAAGAGGAGAACGACCACAUUACGGUCUCGUUUGGUUCACGAACAGAUUUAAGGGGAAAUAACUUCUCAUGUCAUUUCUCAAGGGAUGAGAAAUGGAGAUUCAUUUCCCAUAUUUGGUAAUCCUAGGAAAAUAACAAAGAAAUACCACUUUAUUUCCUUUCACAUGUUUGGUUUGUCUAGGAAUGUAAAACAAAGUUUGUUUAAUUUUCCAAUUAUACCGAUAUGAAAUCAAAUAAAAAAAGAAUAUUUAAUGUUAUAUUGUAAUUCUAAACUGUUAAUAGGGACAAUAUGAUCAUGAAAAAUGUGUAUUUAAUGUUGGCUCAUUUGCUUAUUUUCCCAAACUUUCACAUGAGGAGGAAAACAAAACCCAAGGGGGGAGGAUGGCUUCACUUUCCCCUCUACUUUCCCAUGUACAAGGCAACGAUUUCUCAAGUCUGGACUUACCAUACAUGGGAAAGAAAUUAAUUUCUCAUCCCCAAGUCAUUUUUCCCAUAAACCAAACGGAGCCUACAGGUUAUAAGCUUCAACCUUUAAGGAUUUUCAUAACAAAUCUUGCAAUCUCAUACCAAGGAAAUAAAAAUAAAAAAAAGGAUCCAUGCGUGUAAUUUCUAGAUUAAAAUCUCACUUUUUACGCAUGCCAUUAUCUAAGGAUUAGGUAUGACUACACACGAACAAUCUUACAAUUAUCUGCAAUUCGUCCUUCAAUGGCCAAAGACGUUAUAUCAAAUGAACAAUAAGACGUACAUUUCUUCAAAGAACUAAAUUAUGUGGAUUUCAACUUGCUCUCACUUAUAUGUUUCUCUCUCUCCUCCUAUUGUUUAGCUUAAGGUUUUAGGGCGUGGUUGUCUAAGAACAAUAAGGUAAACAUGCUUACAAAAAAAGAUGGACAGCAAGGAUGGACAUAUGCGAAUGUGAGCUUUUACACAUUGCCACUAAUUUUCUCCAUGAUUUUGUUGAAAUCAUUAACAAAAUAAGAAACUUUAGUAAUUGAAGCGAAAGAGACUAAUUAUCAGAAGAGAAAAUAUGAAAAAAGAAGCUCCCAAUCCAAACUUUAAGUCACAAGUUUAACAGUUUACUUUAAAACAAAAGCAAGUUACGAAACAAUCCCCUGAUUUCCUUGUUAAACAUCAACCGACCCAUUAUUGAUGAGGAUUGAGAAUCUAAGAGCAUAUGGACGAUGGAUCUCUCUCUCUUUUUGAAAACAAAAACAAAAACAAAAAUCAACUUCAUUAUCCUUAGUGAAUUUGUUCGGGAUUAGUUGUGUUGAAUUAGUACAGCUUACUUACGCAAUCGAAUAUCAAACCUAGCUAGCUAAAAAGAGAAAAAGAAAGGCCACAACGACAGUACUGUAGUAUACGUGAAGAAUCUUAUGAUCUAUAAUAUUCUGUAUUAUUGGCCAUCAUUUUCAAUCCUUAUUAAAGAAAACUUGCUUCGCCAUAAUUUCAAGUUGUUCUGAAGGCAGGCAUAGAGAGCACGUAGCUUGGCAAGGGAGGUAAGGGCACUUCGAAAGAUUCCUUCUCAUCAUCUAUACAAGGAAAUGUGUUCUCAUCAAGCUACGGGACAAGGCAAAUUAGCAACCUUUAUACUCAGAUAUAUUAUUCCAAGCAGAUAAACAUGUAAAUAUAUGUGAAGAAUAUUAUGAUAAUGAUCAAUAUAGAAUCUGUAACAUUAUCAGAGGGGUAUCGAUCGACCAUCCAAAGAAAAGGAUAUCCUCUGCAUAUGUGCAUGCCAACAACUAUAAAAGGAGACCAUGAGGCAAUGAAUCAUCAAAGCAAAGACACAGAUAUCCCAACUAAAAAUCAAUCAGUGAGACAAUGGCUGGAACUGGAACCAAUGAUAUUAAAAUUAAAGGGUUCGAUUUGAGCAACAACAGCGGCAACACGUCGGGAUUAACCCACUUCGCCAACAGAGCUGAUGGGGGCGACAAGGGCGACAAUAAAAUCGAGGUUGAGGGUGCUAAAGCGCAAGAUAACAAGGGAAACUUGAAAGUACUUACCGAUUUCGCCCAACGCGGUGAAGUGGGCAGGUCGGAUCGCCAAGAACUUCUCAAGCCUCAGGCAUGAAAUUGAAGAAGGCCAUACCAUAUAUGUGCUGAAUUAUCUACACAAAAAUAAGAGCUGAUGUUUUAUCUGAGGCUCCUUCCUUGGUUAGGCCUCGUUAUCAUGUGUAAUAUUAAUAUUAUUAUUCUAAUAAAAUAAUGGCAGCUUAUUAUUAAAUAUAUCAAAAUUCUAUACGUAUAACUUUUAGAUUCUUGAGUGGGAAACCCUAGCUGCAUUCUGGUCCCUUUUCUUCUUGCCGACAACCAACCACAAGGAAACUAAAGGGGGAGGUGGCCACUGCCCCUCCCCCCCUUCGCCCAUCUUCCCUUUCUCUCCUCAUCUUCCCUUCUUUUUCUCCCAUCUUUUCCCUUCCUCUUAUGCCCUCUUCUCUUCCCAUUCCCUUUCCCAUAUAGUCUAGAUCUAUUUGGAUCUAGGUUUUGUUUGUUUGUUUGUUUGGUUUGGUUUGGUUGUUUUUGCAGUAUUCUAGGUGACUGGUAGUGACGUUGGAUUGUGUCUAUUAUCGGGAGAGUUGUGAUACCUAGUGGCUGAUGUUUUGUCUCUGUUUCAACGACGGCGGCAGUAGCGACACUAGUGAUAGUUAUUGGAUGUGGUGCUCUUCUUUAUUCUGCACUUACCGAAGAACUAUGCUUGGUCAUAGGAGGUUUUCUUUGUCAGAUUCUGAGUUGAAGUGGAGUGCUUCUUAGGGGUCCUUUUAUUGUUGCUUCUAUGUUCCUCCUCUGUGUUCUCUCCUGUUUUCUGUUAUGGUAUGCCUUGUAGUUUGUAUGGGUGUCAAAAUACUAUGAUUUUGCUCAUAGAAGGCUUCUUUUGACAGUUGGGAUAUUCUACGAUCCUCUUCUGUGGGUUUACUAUUUGGGGUUUCUGUCGUUCUCUCAUGUGGGUGUACUAUGUUGGUAUCUAGUUGAGGUUUUCGUCGGAGUUCUUUUUGUUAGUUUUCGUUUUUGAUUUGUUCUUUUAUUGUAAUGGUCCAAAGCGACCAGAAUUAAACUCUCUUGUUAGUCCAUGACAUGUGUGGUACUCUUUUCUCCCCGGGGUUUGUCCCUUGAGAUUGCCCUAGGAAGGUUUUAACGAGGCCACUAUAUCAUGUUGCUCAUUGUACGUCUUUGGUUCUAUUAAUUAAUUCUCUUUCUUAAAAAUAACAAAAAUAAAUAAAUAAAUAAAUAAAAAUUUAGAUUAUUGAUAACGAUGUCAACAAGAGAAAAUGAUUAAAAAGUCCUUUCUCCAAUUCGUGAUGUUACAAAAUGAGACUUCAAAUUGUAAAACUAUAGUUGGAUACGAGUAUAAAACUGAACCAGGCAAUGUAUGGGCCAGAGUGACCAAGGUUGUACGACAGUGAACUAAUGGCAAUUUCUCGUUGCAUGCACGCAUAUGCAAUUGAAGAAUGCCAUAAUAAUAUGUGUUUUUACUAAAUUAUCUACACUAAAAUAAAAACUGAGGCAUUAUCUGAGGCUCUUUCCUUGGCUAGGCCUCAUUUUCAAUUUUGAUUUCAACUUUGAUUUCGCUUAAACUUUGAUUUUGAGCUAGACUGUAAUUUCGACUUUGAUUCUGAUUCUCUCCCAAUUCAUGCCUUAAGAAUCAGUUUCUCCCAACUCUAUUUACCAAAACCAAAAACUCUAAACUUUUCAAUUCGUCUGGGUACUCUCAGAGUUUCAUGCCCUAGUUUCCUCUCGCCAAAAAGCCAAAAAGACUUGGCUUUCAUGUAAUGCUAUACUCCUCGAUUGAACAAGCUGCGUCUUCAAAUUCAACUUUCUCACUUCCCUUCUCUUUACUUUCUUUUCUUUUGUUUUCCAGCCCGGAAAAUCAUGGAAGCAUUACAAAUUUAAGAGAAUAUUCUAGUAUUAGGGUCCAAACUGUACUAUUUAGGUAUUUUCAUUCUGAUUAAGAGUUCUUUUCUAGAAAUUUGGUGAAGAAAAAAUAGAGUUUCUGUUUUAGUGUUUGAUUUUCAUUAUAGUGAGUUAUGUGAAAUCGAAAUGUUUCUUGUGUGAUUUCAUCACUGCUUUCAAAUUGCAAAUUAAGGAUUUGAAGGUUACAAAUUAUUAUGUAGAUAAUUUUUGGGAAUUUAAGAGGCAGUACAGUGUUUGUAUAAGUCUUGAGAUAGACCAAUUUACCACAUGCUCGAUUUCUAUAUAUAAAUUUUUUUAAAUCAUUCUUUUGUUUUAUUUAUUCUGUUAAUUUGUCAUAAUGUGUAAUAUGAUAGCUUCUAAUUCUUUCUUCCUAUUUCUUCUUUUUUGUUAUUCUCUCCCAAAUGAAAUGAAGACCUAACUUAUAUCAAGAAGAAGAGGAUGGAUCCUUACAUAUGAAGAUUUUAAAAUUAACAUUAUUGGAAGACAGUAGGAGUAUCGGCAAUUUGAUACAAGUAUCGGAGUAUCAAAUACGAGCAUGCCCGUCUUUAACAAUGUCUCAUUUCAAUUAGUACAAAAGAAAAAUAAAGGCAGAGUUCAAAAUAGAUUGUUCAGUUUCGAAAGUGACAUUGAGAUUUAAAAAGACUAGACAUUAAGAUGGCAAGAGAGAUCUAAAAGGAUCAAACAAAAAAAAUGAAUGAAAAAUUGAAAAUGCCCUAGAAAGGGAGGAAAUCUUAGUUGCAAUGGGGAUAACAGUAUUUUGCUAUCCUCGAUCAAUAAUUUUAUACCACGUGACCUAAGGAGGCAUGUCAAUCUAGCUCAUCUGGUCCACCGUCCAUGAUAUGAACUCGACUUGAGAGUUUUUUUUUUUUUUUUUUUUUUUUUUUGGGGUUGAAGUAGAACAACUAGACUUGAGAGUUGAUGUCACAUCUCAAGGUCGGUUCCACCGUAGCACGAUAUUGUCUGCUUUGGGCCCCCUCUUUGUCCUCGCGGUUUUGUUUUUAGGAGCUCACGAGCAACUUCCCAGUUGGUCACCCAUCUUGGGAUUGCUCUAGCCCAAACUCACUUAACUUCGGAGUUCUCAUGACUUCGAAAUCAGUGAGCUCCCAAAAGGCCUCGUGCUAAAAGGAGGUGGGCAUAUACAUAUAAGGCGCAACACCCCCUCUCCGUUAGUCGAUGUGGAAUGUUACAAUCCACCCCCUUUAGAGGUCCGACGUCCUCGUCGGCACAGUCUCACCACACGGCAGAGUGGCUCUAUGCCAAAUUGUCGCAUUCCGGGAUCGGCUCCGUCGUAACACGAUAUUGUCCGCGUUGGGUCAACCUCUCUGCCCUCACGAUUUUGUUUCUGGGAGCUUACGAGCAACUUCCCAGUAGAUCACUCAUCCAAACUCGCUUAACUUCGGAGUUCCCAUGACUCCGAAGCCAGUGAGCUCCCAAAAGACCUCGUGCUAAAUGGAGGUAGGCAUGUACAUAUAAGGCACAUCACCUCCGCUCCGUUGGUCGAUGUGGGAUGUUACAGUUGAGGGCUCCGUUGGUCGAUGUACGAUGUUACAGUUGAGGGCUCCGUUGGUCGAUGUAGGAUGUUAUAGUUGAGGCAGCCAAAAUAGAAGGGAAGCAACCCUACUCCACUCCCUCUCCCCAUGUGCCCAGUUCUCUACUCGUUUACUUCACCUUUUAAACCCCUUCGUACUUGAAGACCUGGCUGGCAAUUUGAUUGAAGCGAAAGAGACUAAUUAUCCAUGCUUUUGUUGAAAUCAUUAACAAAAUAAGAAACUUUAGUAAUUGAAGCGAAAGAGACUAAUUAUCAAAACAGAAAAUAUGAAAAAAGAAGCUCCCAAUCCGAACUUUAAGUCACAAGUUUAACAGUUUACUUUAAAACAAAAGCAAGUUACGAAACAAUCCCCUUAUUUACUUGUUAAACAUCAACCGACCCAUUAUUGAUGAGGAUUGAGAAUCUAAGAGCACAUGGACGAUGGAUCUCUCUCCCUUUUUGAAAACAAAAACAAAAACCAACUUCAUUAUCCUUAGUGAAUUUGUUCUGGAUUAGUUGUGUUGCAAUGGAACAUCGAACCUACCUAGCUAAAAGGAAAAAAGAAAGGCCACUACGACAGUACUGCAGUAUAUUAUUCCAAGAAGACAAAUGUAGACUAUAUACGUGAAGAAUAUCUAGUAUUGGUCGUCAUUUUCAAUCCUCAUAAAAGAAAACUUACUUCGCCAUAAUUUCAGGUUGUUCUCAAGGCAGGAAGGUAAGGACACUUGAAAAGAUUCCUUCUCAUCAUCUAUAUAAGGAAAUGUGUUCUCAUCAAGCUAGGGGACAAGGCAAAUUAGCAACCUUUAUACUCGAUAUAUUAUUCCAAGCAGAUAUACAUGUGAAGAAUAUUAUGAUCUUGAUCAAUAUGGAAUCUGUAUCAUGAUCAGUGGAUGUAUCGAUCGACCAUCCAAAGAAAAAGGAUAUCCUCUGCAUAUAUGUGUGCAUGCCAACAACUAUAAAAGGAGACCAUGAGGCAAUGAGUUGAUCAUCAAAGCAAACACACAGAAAUCCCAACUAAAAAUCAAUCAGUGAGACAAUGGCUGGAACUGGAACCAAUGAUAUUAAAAUUAAAGGGUUCGAUGUGAGCAACAACAGCGGCAACACGUCGGGAUUAACCCACUUCGCCAACAGAGCUGCCGAGGGCGACAAGGGCGACAAUAAAAUCGAGGUUGAGGAUGCUAAAGGGCAAGGGAACACGGGAAACUUGAAAGUACUGACCGACUUCGCCCAACGCGGUAAAGUGGGCCAGUCGGAUCGCCAAGAACUUGUCAAACCUCAGGCAUGAAAUUGAAGAAGGCCAUACCAUAACCACUUGUCUGCUUGAUAGAUAUAUGUGCUAAAUUAUCUACACAAAAAUAAGAGCUGAUGUUUUAUCUGAGGCUCCUUCCUUGGUUAGGCCUCGUUAUCAUGUGUAAUAUUAAUAUUAUUAUUCUAAUAAAAUAAUGGUAGCUUAUUAUUAAAUAUACCCAAAUACUAUACGUAUAACUUUUAGAUUAUUGAUACUGGUGUCAACAAGAGAAAAUGAUUAAAAAGUCCUUUCUCGCAUUCGUGAUGUUAGAA